rnacentral:rRNA from 1 species
UACGGGGGGGGCAAGCGUUGUUCGGAAUUACUGGGCGUAAAGGGCUCGUAGGCGGCCAACUAAGUCAGACGUGAAAUCCCUCGGCUCAACCGGGGAACUGCGUCUGAUACUGGAUGGCUUGAAUUCGGGAGAGGGAUGCGGAAUUCCAGGUGUAGCGGUGAAAUGCGUAGAUAUCUGGAGGAACACCGGUGGCGAAGGCGGCAUCCUGGACCGAGAUUGACGCUGAUGCGCGAAAGCCAGGGGAGCAAACGGG